rnacentral:rRNA from 1 species
UAACUUGAGAGUUUGAUCCUGGCUCAGGACGAACGCUGGCGGCAUGCCUAAUACAUGCAAGUCGAACGAGAAAGUUCCUUCGGGGACGAUU